GUUUGUCGCGUUGUUCGUGAAAUCUCACGGCUUAACUGUGAGCGUGCGGGCGAUACGGGCAGACUUGAGUACUGCAGGGGAGACUGGAAUUCCUGGUGUAGCGGUGGAAUGCGCAGAUAUCAGGAGGAACACCGGUGGCGAAGGCGGGUCUCUGGGCAGUAACUGACGCUGAGGAGCGAAAGCGUGGGGAGCGAACAGGAUUAGAUACCCUGGUAGUCCACGCCGUAAACGGUGGGUACUAGGUGUGGGUUUCCUUCCUUGGGAUCCGUGCCGUAGCUAACGCACUAAGUACCCCGCCUGGGGAGUACGGCCGCAAGGCUAAAACUCAAAGAAAUUGACGGGGGCCCGCACAAGCGGCGGAGCAUGUGGAUUAAUUCGAUGCAACGCGAAGAACCUUACCUGGGUUUGACAUGCACAGGACGCCGGCAGAGAUGUCGGUUCCCUUGUGGCCUGCGUGCAGGUGGUGCAUGGCUGUCGUCAGCUCGUGUCGUGAGAUGUUGGGUUAAGUCCCGCAACGAGCGCAACCCUUGUCUCAUGUUGCCAGCGGGUAUGCCGGGGAUGUGAGAGACUGCCGGGGUCACUCGGAGGAAGGUGGGGAUGACGUCAGUCAUCAUGCCCCUUAUGUCCGGGCUUCACACAUGUACAAUGGCCGGUACAAAGGGCUGCGAUGCCGCGAGGUUAAGCGAAUCCUUUUAAAGCCGGUCUCAGUUCGGAUCGGGGUCUGCAACUCGACCCCGUGAAGUCGGAGUCGC
rnacentral:rRNA from 1 species